rnacentral:lncRNA from 1 species
AGGGGCCAAGAUCACCUUACUGGUAUUUGCUGUGGUACCUGACAAUUACCUGCUGGCUCUCUUCUCCUUGGGUCCUCUGCGAAUCUGUGAACCCUGCUUAUUUUGUGCUCAAUUCAGUGCCCACGGCUCAACGGAUUGUUCUAUGACUAGUCCAGUCCUUCUCUUGGCAUGCUGCCUACUCCAUGUCAGAAGUUAAAAGGUUGCACUUCCUUAAAAUGCAGUAUUUUCCAACAGAACCUGCAUCAAUCAACCAAUUAGUAUAACUACGCAUGCACUGCUCACGGCUCCAUGCUGGCUAAUGAUCACUGGCUUUGUCUUAUGCAAGGCUGGUCUUUCCUCGAUCCAGCUAAGAAAUAACCACUUGAAAGGAAGUGCAUGGGGAGAUUUCAAACACAACAGGAAGAACAUCGUGUCAAAUUGCCAUAGUCGUACAAAAGGCAGCAUUUGCAGCAUCUGUCCAUACCUGGAAUUGAAAAGAGAUUGAGAGGCGGGUGCACAAUUUUCCUCACCAUUCAUUCAGUUCAAAGUAAAAGAGA